AGGAAUGAGAAAAAUGGAAGAAUUAGGUGGAAUAGCUUUUCUUAGUCAAAAAAAUAUCUUCAGAACCUAGAGGUCCAGGGCACUUGCCUUUAUAAUGUUCCUUUAUAUGAGUGAAGAAAGUAGCCUUGUACAUAAUAUAAACGUGUGUCAUAUUAAACAUGCUUUUAUUAGUUAGCCUGAGUGUGUAUUACUCAUAAAUUUGAUUUUUGGUGGUGUUUCAGAAAAAGAGCAAACUUUUUCCAUGAAGGGCUAGAUAUUUUAGGCUUUGCAGAUCAUAUGUUCUCUGUUGCUACUAUCCAACUCUGCAUUUGUAAAGCAAAAGCAGCCACAGGCAAUGUGCAAAGGAAUGGGGCAUGGCUAUGUUCCAGUAAAACUUUAUUUACAAAGACCAUGGGUUGUAGUUUGCUGCUCCCUGUUUUAUAGUUUUAUGGUUUUACCCUAUACGCCCAGGAGGUACAAGGAAUAAAUUAUGUUUGUUUAUUUGCCGAUAGAAUGAAGAAAACUUCUAUAACUUGGUUUAAACAUUUAAGGCAGAUAUUUUUAGGAAUCUUUUUAACUUAACUUUUCUGUUUACUAGUCCAAGACAUCUCUGGCAUCAUCAAUAGGAAGACCAAUGACAGGGGCUAUUCAGGUAUCUCUAUUGGAUGCAUGUUCAUUUUGUGCCUUUCUUGUGACUUGGAAUUUACUACCAAAGUUUUUUUACUUUAUUAUAUUAUUUUAAAAUGUUAAAGAAGAUAUUACUUAUAUAGUGACCCAGAUUCUUUAAAUUGUGGGCUAAAGUCUACACUGUUGUAAAUCUUUGAAGGCGAAGUCUCUUUAGAUUUAUUUACUCAGGUAUCAAAUGAAUUCCCAUUGGGGUGUGGACAUAGAACUGAUAAUUGCUUAUAUGAUGUAUUCUGGGGCCCAUUUUUCCUGUUACCAUUUACAACAAUUUCUGUGGUUUCUCUCAUAGGCAUGUAAGAGACCAACCAAAAGUAAGAGAGUAGCUGGCUAAUAAGCUGAUUAAUUUUUUUUAAAACUAUAGCCCAAUUACAUCAAAGAAUUGAAAUUGUAAAGGUGAGAGAGGACAUGAUUGAUACAUGAGGAGGUAGAAGUAAGGAGUAAACGUAUAGUGAUUGAAAAUCAGCAUUUUUUUAAAUAGGGCUAUAUUAAGGUGUGUGUAAUGUGCAGAACUGUACAUAGGAGAUAGAUCUUAUUUAAGAAUAAAUGAUUCCCAUUCUCUUUAAAGGAUGGAGUUACUAGACCCAUGACAGCAGUGAGAGCAGCUGGUUUUACCAAAGCAGCUUUGAGAGGCUCUGCAUUUGACCCCCUUAGUCAGUCAAGGGGCCCUGCUUCCCCUUUGGAAGCCAAG
rnacentral:lncRNA from 10 species